GAUGAACGCUAGCGAUAGGCUUAACACAUGCAAGUCGAGGGGUAACGUGUUGGAAGCUUGCUUCCGAUGACGACGACCGGCGGAUGGGUGCGUAACGCGUAUGCAACUUGCCUCACAGUGGAGAAUAACCCGGAGAAAUCCGGACUAAUACUCCAUACACUCUUAAGUACGCCUGUACAUGAGAGGAAAGAUUUAUCGCUGUGAGAUAGGCAUGCGUCCUAUUAGGUAGUUGGUGAGGUAACGGCUCACCAAGCCGACGAUAGGUAGGGGUGCUGAGAGGCAGAUCCCCCACAUUGGGACUGAGACACGGCCCAAACUCCUACGGGAGGCAGCAGUGAGGAAUAUUGGUCAAUGGAGGAAACUCUGAACCAGCCAAGUCGCGUGAAGGAAGAAUGUCCUGAGGAUUGUAAACUUCUUUAGCGAGCGAGUAAGGACUUCCACGUGAUGGGAGUUUGAAAGUAGCUCGAGAAUAAGUAUCGGCUAACUCCGUG
rnacentral:rRNA from 1 species